rnacentral:rRNA from 1 species
AUUGAACGCUGGCGGCAGGCCUAACACAUGCAAGUCGAGCGGUAGCACAGAGAGCUUGCUCUCGGGUGACGAGCGGCGGACGGGUGAGUAAUGUCUGGGAAACUGCCUGAUGGAGGGGGAUAACUACUGGAAACGGUAGCUAAUACCGCAUAACGUCGCAAGACCAAAGUGGGGGACCUUCGGGCCUCAUGCCAUCAGAUGUGCCCAGAUGGGAUUAGCUUGUAGGUGAGGUAACGGCUCACCUAGGCGACGAUCCCUAGCUGGUCUGAGAGGAUGACCAGCCACACUGGAACUGAGACACGGUCCAGACUCCUACGGGAGGCAGCAGUGGGGAAUAUUGCACAAUGGGCGCAAGCCUGAUGCAGCCAUGCCGCGUGUGUGAAGAAGGCCUUCGGGUUGUAAAGCACUUUCAGCGGGGAGGAAGGCGAUAAGGUUAAUAACCUUGUCGAUUGACGUUACCCGCAGAAGAAGCACCGGCUAACUCCGUGCCAGCAGCCGCGGUAAGAC